rnacentral:rRNA from 1 species
UNUGACUUGAGUGCAGAAGGGGAGAGUGGAAUUCCAUGUGUAGCGGUGAAAUGCGUAGAUAUAUGGAGGAACACCAGUGGCGAAAGCGGCUCUCUGGUCUGUCACUGACGCUGAGGCUCGAAAGCGUGGGUAGCGAACAGGAUUAGAUACCCUGGUAGUNCACGCCGUAAACGAUGAGUGCUAGGUGUUAGGCCCUUUCCGGGGCUUAGUGCCGGAGCUAACGCAAUAAGCACUCCGCCUGGGGAGUACGACCGCAAGGUUGAAACUCAAAGGAAUUGACGGGGGCCCGCACAAGCGGUGGAGCAUGUGGUUUAAUUCGAAGCAACGCGAAGAACCUUACCAGGUCUUGACAUCCCGAUGCUAUUCUUAGAGAUAGGAAGUUACUUCGGUACAUCGGAGACAGGUGGUGCAUGGUUGUCGUCAGCUCGUGUCGUGGGAUGUUGGGCUAAGUCCCGCAACGAGCGCAACCCUUAUUGUUAGUUGCCAUCAUUAAGUUGGGCACUCUAGCGAGACUGCCGGUAAUAAACCGGAGGAAGGUGGGGAUGACGUCAAAUCAUCAUGCCCCUUAUGACCUGGGCUACACACGUGCUACAAUGGUCGGUACAACGAGUUGCGAGCCGGUGACGGCAAGCUAAUCUCUGAAAGCCGAUCUCAGUUCGGAUUGGAGGCUGCAACUCGCCUCCAUGAAGUCGGAAUCGCUAGUAAUCGCGGAUCAGCACGCCGCGGUGAAUACGUUCCCGGGCCUUGUACACACCGCCCGUCACACCACGAGAGUUUGUAACACCCGAAGUCGGUGAGGUAACCUUUUAGGGGCCAGCCGCC